UGUGUUGCUGAUCACAGGCACAGUACAAGUGCUCGGAAGAACAAAAGGAUGUCUUUGGAAAUGAACGGUUGGAAAAGCACUCUGACAUAACCUGAGGACUCAAAACUGUCAUGAACACUGGAG